GGGAAGUCUAAGCGCGAGCGGCAUGGCCAUCAGUUCCACUCUUGUCUUUUCUAGAAAGGCCUGAAGCCAGUCUUGCAAAGAGGUUGUGGCAGGCAUGCAUUUGGAUACCUGGAACUCUGAGCUCUGAAGGGUGCCAGAGCACCAAAAGCUGGAAGCCUUGACCAUGCCUUGGGAGGAGAAAUCUAUAGAGGCUGGUCUAUGUUAAGCAGUGGUUGGAGGGAGCAAGUCUGUGCCAAAGAGGAAAUGCAGCUGCCAAAUCUUUUAUAAAAACCUUAACAACUCACAGGCAUCAAGCUCCAGAAGAGUCUCCAAAUCCCAGAACUUCCU
rnacentral:lncRNA from 1 species